rnacentral:rRNA from 1 species
UACCUGCAGCCCGAGUGGUGGUCGAUUUUAUUGAGUCUAAAACGUUCGUAGCCGGCCCGGUAAAUCCCUGGGUAAAUCGGAGGGCUCAACCUUCCGACUUCCGGGGAGACUGCCGGGCUUGGGACCGGGAGAGGCUAGAGGUACUUCUGGGGUAGGGGUAAAAUCCUGUAAUCCUGGAAGGACCACCGGUGGCGAAGGCGUCUAGCUAGAACGGAUCCGACGGUGAGGGACGAAGCCCUGGGUCGCAAAC